rnacentral:lncRNA from 1 species
AAAGGUGUAGCUUAGCUGCUAAAAUUUUAAGGAAAAACAGAGCAGCAUAGCUGCUGAUUUUGAAGCAAAAAUAAGCAGCCUUAACUGCUAAAAAUUUAAAAGUUAAAAGGCAAGAAAGGGUGACCGGUGGUGAGAGGGAGAGAGAGGAAGAGAGUGGGACGGUUUGUGCAUGUGAAGAGAAGAAAAAGGAAGACAACAAGGCUGCUGGAC